CUUGCUGAACUUAAGCAUAUCAUCAAACGGAGGAAAAGGAACUAGCAGGGAUUGCCUCAGUAAUGGCGAGUGAGGGGGCAAAAGCUCAAAUCUGAACGUCUCAGGGAAUUUUAAUUGAAGGGGUCUCAGUCAGUUCAAACAUUCUUAAGUCCGUUGGGAUAUGGCGCCAUGGAGGGUGAUAGGAAUUCAGUUUGCUCUACUUUUUUUUGACCACCAAGGAGUCGAGUUUCCUGGGAAUGCAGCUCUGAGUGGGUGGUGAAUUCCAUCCAAAGCUAAAUAUUGGCGAGAGCCUGACAGCGAACAAGUACAGUAAUGGAUAUAUGCAAAGCACUUUGAAAAGAGAGUGGAAAAGUACGUGUAGUUGCUGAAAGGAAAGGGCUUGCAAGCAGACACUACCUUCGUGUUAGGCCGAGGAGAAGUUAAAAAAAAAAAGGAAAUGUAGUUGUCGAGUAUUGCAGACCUUGUCCACACCUUCCAUCUCAUCCCGAGGCCUGGGGAUUUAUCUCGGAUGCUGGCGUAAUGGCUGCAAGUCGCCCGUCUUGAGACACGG
rnacentral:ncRNA from 1 species